rnacentral:rRNA from 1 species
UUUCCGUAGGGGGGACCUGCGGAGGGAUCAUUA